CCUACGGGCGGCAGCAGUGGGGAAUAUUGGACAAUGGGCGAAAGCCUGAUCCAGCCAUGCCGCGUGUGUGAAGAAGGCCUUCGGGUUGUAAAGCACUUUCAGUGGGGAAGAAAGCCUUGGGGCUAAUACCCUCGAGGAAGGACAUCACCCACAGAAGAAGCACCGGCUAACUCCGUGCCAGCAGCCGCGGUAAUACGGAGGGUGCGAGCGUUAAUCGGAAUUACUGGGCGUAAAGCGCGCGUAGGCGGUCUGAUAAGCCGGUUGUGAAAGCCCCGGGCUCAACCUGGGAACGGCAUCCGGAACUGUCAGGCUAGAGUGCAGGAGAGGAAGGUAGAAUUCCCGGUGUAGCGGUGAAAUGCGUAGAGAUCGGGAGGAAUACCAGUGGCGAAGGCGGCCUUCUGGACUGACACUGACGCUGAGGUGCGAAAGCGUGGGUAGCAAACAGGAUUACAUACCCGUGUAGUC
rnacentral:rRNA from 1 species